rnacentral:rRNA from 1 species
CCUACGGUGGGCAGCAGUGAGGAAUAUUGGUCAAUGGGCGAGAGCCUGAACCAGCCAAGUCGCGUGAGGGAAGACGGUCCUAUGGAUUGUAAACCUCUUUUGUCGGGGAGCAAAAAGGCCUCGUGAGGCCACAAGUGAGAGUACCCGAAGAAAAAGCAUCGGCUAACUCCGUGCCAGCAGCCGCGGUAAUACGGAGGAUGCGAGCGUUAUCCGGAUUUAUUGGGUUUAAAGGGAGCGUAGGUGGAUUGUUAAGUCAGUUGUGAAAGUUUGCGGCUCAACCGUAAAAUUGCAGUUGAAACUGGCAGUCUUGAGUACAGUAGAGGUGGGCGGAAUUCGUGGUGUAGCGGUGAAAUGCUUAGAUAUCACGAAGAACUCCGAUUGCGAAGGCAGCUCACUGGACUGCAACUGACACUGAGGCUCGAAAGUGUGGGUAUCAAACAGGAUUAGAUACCCGAGUAGUC